rnacentral:rRNA from 1 species
AUGGAGUAUCUGGGCCACAUUAUUACUGCUGCAGGAGUAACCACUGAUCCUGCCAAAACUGCUGCUAUGGUGGAUUGGCCUACACCCUCUAAUGUCACAGAAUUGAGAGGAUUCUUGGGACUAACUAGCUACUAUAGGAAGUUUGUCAAGAACUAUGGCAUGCUGGCUAAACCUCUCACUAUUUUGUUGAAGAAACAAGCAUUCCAGUGGACCGAAUCUGCACAAGCUGCCUUUCAGCUUCUGAAACAAGCUAUGGCCACUACACCUGUGUUGGCCUUGCCAGAUUUUAACAAAUCUUUCACAGUGGAAACAGAUGCUUGCAACACUGGGAUAGGUGCAGUACUCACACAGGAGGGACAUCCCAUUGCAUACUACAGCAAGGCCUUGGGUAAAAAUAGUCAGAAAAUUUCCAUUUAUGAAAAAGAAUUCAUGGCCAUAAUGAUGGCUGUGGAUAGAUGGAGAUCAUAUCUGUGA